AAUGAACGCUGGCGGCGUGCCUAACACAUGCAAGUCGAACGACAGCACAGUGAGCUUGUGCCUUUAAGGGUGGCGACUGGCGGAUGGGUGACGCAUACAUCGCCAACUUCUAUUUCGGGGGGGAUAACGUAGGGCAGCUUACGCUACUACCGCAUAUGACGUACCGGUGAGUGCGGUGGAGCUUCGGACCUUUGGUGUCUGUAAUAGCCGAUGCCGGAUUAGCUAGUUGGGGGGGUAAAGGCCCACCAAGGCGACGAUCCGUAGCGGAUCUGAGAGGAUGAUCGGCCACACUGGAACUGAGACACGGUCCAGACUCCUACGGGAGGCAGCAGUGGGGAAUAUUGGGCAAUGGGCGCAAGCCUGACCCAGCCAUACCGCGUGGGUGACGAAGGCCUUCGGGUCGUAAAGCCCUUUUGUUGGGAAAGAACAGCAGCAGAAUAAAACGCGGCUGUUCUGACGGUACCCAAAGAAUAAGCACCGGCUAACUACGUG
rnacentral:rRNA from 1 species